UCAGCAAUCAGGAAGAUUCUAAUUCUUUUUACCAUUGUUUCCGGCGUGUGAGGCACUGGGAAUUAGGAUAACUAUAUCUGUUUAUAAUUUUCAUAAAAAUGUUUAUAUUACAUUCUAUCUGGUAGUGUUUUUAGGUUUUACAGUCUUGAGUGUUAUAAUAUUCUGAUCUGGUGGUUCUAAAGACGAAAUCAAGAUGUAUACGGGUACUAGUGCUGACCAGGAUACUAGAUUCAGUGACAAAGAAAAAAAGCUUUUGAAACAAAUGAAAUUUAGUGAAUCUUUAAAUGCUAAGGUUGAUAUGAAUAAAGUAAAGCUAGAUACUAUCAAACCUUGGAUUGGUAAAAGAAUAACAGAAUUGCUAGGAAUGGAAGAUGAUGUUGUAGAAGAAUUUGUGAACAAUCAGCUUGAAGCAGAUACUUGGCCCGAUCCAAGAAAAAUGCAAAUAAAUCUUACUGGUUUCUUGAAUGGCAAAAAUGCUCGAGUGUUUAUGACAGACUUGUGGGAAUUACUUUUGUCUGCUCAGGAAUCUCCAUCGGGCAUUCCCCCUAAAUUUAUUGAGCAAAAAAAAGAAGAAUUAAAAAAGAAAAUGGAAGAUCAAGAGCGAGUUGGAGAUAUGAUUAAGAAGUUUGAAAAAGAUAAAGAAGACAGAGAAAAAGAAAGAAAAAAAGACAGAGAAAGAAGGAAAAGUCGUAGUAGAUCACAUACACGAGAUCGUCGUAGUCGAUCUAGAGAUCGCCAUCGUGAUAAACGUGAUAAAGAAAAAGAAAGAGAUAAAUAUAAAGAUCAUGAUUCCGAUAAAGUUCGAGAGAAGCAUACAAAAAGAGAUUCUCGUUCUAAGUCAAAAGGAAAACUUGUGAGUAAUGGACAUAGUUCACCAACUAAAACUAAAAAAGAAAAAAGUCGAAGUUGUUCACCUAAAAAUGAUGUUCGCAAAUCUGAAGAAAAGACAACAAAUUUGAAAAAUUCAGUUUCACCUACUAAAGAUAAGGUUGUAGAAACAAAUAAUAAAUCCAAACCUAAAGAACGAUCAUUAUCUAGAGAUUCUACUAAACGUAGAGAGAAAAAACGACAUCAUUCUUCUUCAUCAAGUCGUAGUUCAUCAUCAUCUAAUUCAUCUUUAAGUCCUGACCGUAAAAAAGAUUUUGAAAUUCAGAAGAAAGAAAACAGUAUCCAAAAAAAAAGGCAAUACCGAACAAAUAAAGAUGAAUCUUCUGGUAGUGAAUCAGAUAAAGAUAAAUCUACAGAUAGAAGAGAUCGUCGUGAUCGUUCAUCUUCUCGGUCCAGACGUCCAUCUAGACAUGCAUUCAAUCGUGGCCGCUAUCGUGAAAAAAGUCGUGAUCGUUAUUAUAGAGAUAGGGAGAGAGAAAGAGCAAGAGAAAGAGAACGAAAUCGGCGUGAUCGUGAGCGAGAACGUAGAGAUAGAGAAAGAGCAAUUCGUGAAAGGGACCGUGAACGUGAUAGACGUAGGCAAAGAGAAAGAGAAGAAAAAUCAUCACCUCGAAGAAGAAAAUCGAGAAGUCCUGAAAGAAAAUCUAGAUCAGGCAGCAGGCAUAGCAGACAUACUAGAUCUCGUUCAAAAUCUAAAAGGAGACCAAGUGGAAAAUCAGGUAGCAGGGAUCGUAAUGUUAAAGAUUCUAGUAUUGUCUCUCCUACAAAAAAAGAUAACACCUCAAAAUCAAAGGCUUCACAAGAAAGUUUAUCUAGAACCCCUUCACCUUUUAAGAAAUCUGAAGAGAAGACAGACCGUAAACCAGUAAAGGAUAGAUUGGGUGUUAGAGAUGAACAACAUUCUAAAUCCUCUCAGCCACAAAGAUCAAAAGGACAAUCUCCUUCAUCAGAAAAGAAAAAUAACAAUGAUAAAAAAAAUUCAUCAAGUUCUAGACGCAAAUCAUCAUCUCCUGUUAUUAAAAAAAAAGAAGAAGAAAAACCUGAAAAAAUAAAAAAACCUUUAAAAAAAUCUGAUGUUUCUGAUGCUGAAAACACAAAAAUUAAAAAAAAAGAAGAAUCAAGUUCAUCGGAUGAAUCGAUAAAGAAGUCUAAAAAGAAAGUUAAAAGAGAUUCUAGUUCAGAUGAUGAUAAAAUAAAAACUAAAAAAAGGAAACUCAAGGAUUCUACUUCAUCUGAAGACGACGAUUCUAAGAAAAAAAAGAAACGUAAAAAAAGAUCGUCCAGUUCAAGUUCAGAUGAAAGUGACAAAGAUGACAAAAAAAAGAAAAAAGACAAGAAACAUAAAAAACAUAAGAAGCACAAGAAACAUAAAAAACAUAAGAAACGCAAGACUGAAGAAAGUGGUUCUGAUGUCAAAUCUGGAGAUGAAUCGGAACAACGCUUAAGAGAAAAGGCAUUGCGUACAAUGAAAAAGAAAAAUCAAGCUAAACAUGAUGGAACCCCUAAUAGUAAUAGCAGUGAUUAAUAAAAGAGGUAAGAAAUUCUUUCUUUUUGUCAUAUUGACCGUUGUAAUUCUAGCAACGAGAAUUUGACAGGUUAGCCUACUGUCCUACUGUCCAGUCAACAGGCUGCUGACUUGUUGGCAGAGUUAUACUUGCAUCAUUUUCAUAGCGCUGUCUGAUCAUUUUCGAUGCCUCUACAAUUGUUUUCUUUCAAUCAACAUUUUUAAUGAGCAACUACUAAACUUCUAUCAACAUUCAUUCUGCAUUUCUCCUAUCAACAUAUCUCCAAUCAACAUUACUUCGAUCAACACAUCUACAAUCAACAUAUCUUCGUUCAACAUUACUUCUAUCAACACACCUGCAAUCAACAUAUCUUCGUUCAACAUUACUUCUAUCAACACGCCUGCAAUCAACACAUCUACAUUCAAUAUUACUUCUAUCAAUCUACCUACAUUCUUUUCAACAUUCCUUCUAUUAACCCUAGAUCUUCACUGCAAUCAACAUGUUUUUUUGUUGUCAAAACUCAUUCAAUACUCUUCAAUAUCAAUUGAGGGUUUUACGUUUUCAAACCACUGAAUGCCAUCUACUAAUUCUCUAUAAUCAUUUGAUUGACUGCAGAAUAAGAUGUGUGCACAAUUUAAUAUCUUAACCAAUGAGAGUUGUGUUAUGGAUAAAUACAAUACCGACGACAGCUGUUUGAAAAUGUACCUAGGCCAAUUGAAAAUCUACAGUUGAUCUAAAAAAGUUUUUGGCUUACAACAAAUUAUUCAAUUAAUAUAUAAUAUAAUUUUAUUUGUAUUAGAUAUUUUUCUUUUAGAAAAUCUAUUUUAAAUUUAAUUGUUUUGUUUCAGGACCUUUAGUGAAGAAAAAAUUGAAGUAUUAGUCACAAUUCUCAAGAAUGGUUCUAUGAAGAUUUUUUAAAUUUUAAUAUUUUUUUUUUUAAUACGUUUUAAAUAAUAAACAAUUUAUGACAUUAACACAAUUAUACACAAUAUCUUAAAAUACAUAUAUUAUAAUAUGCAAUUUUUAAAAAUUUAUAAUAAAUUAAAAAUACAUUAUUUAAUUUAAUGUUUCACAAUAGCAAUACAACAUAGUUAACAUUUAGUCAUGUUUUAGUAUUAGUUACUACAAUUUAAAAUAAAUAUGACAUAUUUUUA